rnacentral:rRNA from 1 species
AUACGGAGGGAGCAAGCGUUAUUCGGAAUCACUGGGCGUAAAGGAUGCGUAGGCGGAUAAUCAAGUCAAAAGUGAAAUCCCACGGCUUAACCGUGGAACUGCUUUCGAAACUGGUUAUCUAGAAUAUGGAAGGGGCAGAUGGAAUUAGUGGUGUAGGGGUAAAAUCCGUAGAGAUCACUAGGAAUACCGAUUGCGAAGGCGAUCUGCUGGGACAUUAUUGACGCUGAGGCAUGAAAGCGUGGGGAGCAAACAGGAUUAGAAACCCCAGUAGUCC